AUUGAACGCUGGCGACAGGCUUAACACAUGCAAGUCGAGCGGGGGAAGGUAGCUUGCUACCGGACCUAGCGGCGGACAGGUGAGUAAUGCUUAGGAAUCUGCCUAUUAGUGGGGGACAACAUCUCGAAAGGGAUGCUAAUACCGCAUACGUCCUACGGGAGAAAGCAGGGGAUCUUCGGACCUUGCGCUAAUAGAUGAGCCUAAGUCGGAUUAGCUAGUUGGUGGGGUAAAGGCCUACCAAGGCGACGAUCUGUAGCGGGUCUGAGAGGAUGAUCCGCCACAAUGGGACGGAGACACGGCCCAGACUCCGACGGGAGGUAGCAGUGGGGAAUAUUGGACAAUGGGGGGAACCCUGAUCCAGCCAUGCCGCGUGUGUGAAGAAGGCCCUAUGGUUGUAAAGCACUUUAAGCGAGGAGGAGGCUACUCUAGUUAAUACCUAGGGAUAGUGGACGUUACUCGCAGAAUAAGCACCGGCUAACUCUGUGCCAGCCGCCGCCGUAA
rnacentral:rRNA from 1 species